GGGCGUUAAGUUGCAGGGUAUAGACCCGAAACCCGGUGAUCUAGCCAUGGGCAGGUUGAAGGUUGGGUAACACUAACUGGAGGACCGAACCGACUAAUGUUGAAAAAUUAGCGGAUGACCUGUGGCUGGGGGUGAAAGGCCAAUCAAACCGGGAGAUAGCUGGUUCUCCCCGAAAGCUAUUUAGGUAGCGCCUCGUGAAUUCAUCUCCGGGGGUAGAGCACUGUUUCGGCUAGGGGGCCAUCCCGGCUUACCAACCCGAUGCAAACUGCGAAUACCGGAGAAUGUUAUCACGGGAGACACACGGCGGGUGCUAACGUCCGUCGUGAAGAGGGAAACAACCCAGACCGCCAGCUAAGGUCCCAAAGUCAUGGUUAAGUGGGAAACGAUGUGGGAAGGCCCAGACAGCCAGGAUGUUGGCUUAGAAGCAGCCAUCAUUUAAAGAAAGCGUAAUAGCUCACUGGUCGAGUCGGCCUGCGCGGAAGAUGUAACGGGGCUAAACCAUGCACCGAAGCUGCGGCAGCGACACUGUGUGUUGUUGGGUAGGGGAGCGUUCUGUAAGCCUGCGAAGGUGGCCUGUGAGGGUUGCUGGAGGUAUCAGAAGUGCGAAUGCUGACAUAAGUAACGAUAAAGCGGGUGAAAAGCCCGCUCGCCGGAAGACCAAGGGUUCCUGUCCAACGUUAAUCGGGGCAGGGUGAGUCGACCCCUAAGGCGAGGCCGAAAGGCGUAGUCGAUGGGAAACGGGUUAAUAUUCCCGUACUUGGUGUUACUGCGAAGGGGGGACGGAGAAGGCUAUGUUGGCCGGGCGACGGUUGUCCCGGUUUAAGCGUGUAGGUGUGUGUUCCAGGUAAAUCCGGUUCACUUUAACACUGAGGCGUGACGACGAGGCACUACGGUGCUGAAGCAACAAAUGCCCUGCUUCCAGGAAAAGCCUCUAAGCAUCAGGUAACAUCAAAUCGUACCCCAAACCGACACAGGUGGUCAGGUAGAGAAUACCAAGGCGCUUGAGAGAACUCGGGUGAAGGAACUAGGCAAAAUGGUGCCGUAACUUCGGGAGAAGGCACGCUGACACGUAGGUGAAGUGAUUUACUCAUGGAGCUGAAGUCAGUCGAAGAUACCAGCUGGCUGCAACUGUUUAUUAAAAACACAGCACUGUGCAAACACGAAAGUGGACGUAUACGGUGUGACGCCUGCCCGGUGCCGGAAGGUUAAUUGAUGGGGUCAGCGCAAGCGAAGCUCCUGAUCGAAGCCCCGGUAAACGGCGGCCGUAACUAUAACGGUCCUAAGGUAGCGAAAUUCCUUGUCGGGUAAGUUCCGACCUGCACGAAUGGCGUAAUGAUGGCCAGGCUGUCUCCACCCGAGACUCAGUGAAAUUGAACUCGCUGUGAAGAUGCAGUGUACCCGCGGCAAGACGGAAAGACCCCGUGAACCUUUACUAUAGCUUGACACUGAACAUUGAGCCUUGAUGUGUAGGAUAGGUGGGAGGCUUUGAAGUGUGGACGCCAGUCUGCAUGGAGCCGACCUUGAAAUACCACCCUUUAAUGUUUGAUGUUCUAACGUGGACCCGUUACCCGGGUUGCGGACAGUGUCUGGUGGGUAGUUUGACUGGGGCGGUCUCCUCCUAAAGAGUAACGGAGGAGCACGAAGGUUGGCUAAUCCUGGUCGGACAUCAGGAGGUUAGUGCAAUGGCAUAAGCCAGCUUGACUGCGAGCGUGACGGCGCGAGCAGGUGCGAAAGCAGGUCAUAGUGAUCCGGUGGUUCUGAAUGGAAGGGCCAUCGCUCAACGGAUAAAAGGUACUCCGGGGAUAACAGGCUGAUACCGCCCAAGAGUUCAUAUCGACGGCGGUGUUUGGCACCUCGAUGUCGGCUCAUCACAUCCUGGGGCUGAAGUAGGUCCCAAGGGUAUGGCUGUUCGCCAUUUAAAGUGGUACGCGAGCUGGGUUUAGAACGUCGUGAGACAGUUCGGUCCCUAUCUGCCGUGGGCGCUGGAGAACUGAGGGGGGCUGCUCCUAGUACGAGAGGACCGGAGUGGACGCAUCACUGGUGUUCGGGUUGUCAUGCCAAUGGCACUGCCCGGUAGCUAAAUGCGGAAGAGAUAAGUGCUGAAAGCAUCUAAGCACGAAACUUGCCCCGAGAUGAGUUCUCCCUGAGACUUAAAGUCUCCUGAAGGAACGUUGAAGACGACGACGUUGAUAGGCCGGGUGUGUAAGCGCAGCGAUGCGUUGAGCUAACCGGUACUAAUGAACCGUGAGGCUUAACCUUACAACGCCG
rnacentral:rRNA from 1 species